AACGAACGCUGGCGGCAUGCCUAACACAUGCAAGUCGAACGAGACCUUCGGGUCUAGUGGCGCACGGGUGCGUAACGCGUGGGAACCUGCCCUUAGGUUCGGAAUAACUCCCCGAAAGGGGUGCUAAUACCGGAUAAUGUCUUCGGACCGAGGAUUGAUGGGCGUGGGGGGGGCCCGGGUUGGAUUAGCUAGUUGGUAGGGUAAAAGCCUACCAAGGCGACGAUCCAUAGCUGGUCUGAGAGGAUGAUCAGCCACACUGGGACUGAGACACGGCCCAGACUCCGACGGGAGGCAGCAGUGGGGAAUAUUGGACAAUGGGCGAAAGCCUGAUCCAGCAAUGCCGCGUGAGUGAUGAAGGCCUUAGGGUUGUAAAGCUCUUUUACCCGGGAUGAUAAUGACAGUACCGGGAGAAUAAGCUCCGGCUAACUCCGU
rnacentral:rRNA from 1 species